UCUACCCUGGAGGAUUAGCUCAGUAAAUUUAGAAUUUGCUCAAACAAAGUAGAG
rnacentral:tRNA from 1 species